rnacentral:lncRNA from 1 species
CUUGUUCUGGGAUCCUUUAUCUUUGUUUUAUUUUAAAUCAUUGGGUUUAGAUAUUGCUUCGGUCUUUUAAUCCUUUCAAAAUGGCAGCUACAUACCCCUUUUGCGAUUUCUAUGAAAGAAUCCUACAGACAAUGGAUUCCCGCGUGAAACACUUUGGAUCGAAAAAGUUUGAUCAAUUCCAAGAAAUUUUUGAAUUGGAAACUUGCUCGAAUUGGAUUCUUU